rnacentral:lncRNA from 1 species
UACACAACAUUCAAAGGGUGGACAGAGUCCAUUAUAUAAGUUUAAAGAACAAAUCAGAAAUGCAAAAGAGACAAUAAUAUAGAGUAAAAAGAACCAUUAUGUCAAUUCACAGUAGCAUACCGCAGAGUCCACAACAAACCAUUGUAGGCCCGAUCAACAUUUGCAGAAUUAAGGAUUCUGCAAUAUCAUCCCAACUUUGUAAACUAUUGAGGUGAACAUUAACAUUCUUUAUUACAAGUAUGUAUUAUACAUGCAUAGCGAUAUAUUCAGUUCAAACCAUGAGAAAAAUAAUCAAGUGUUUGAAGCAAGUGCAAGUUGCAACCAGCAAAUUAUCAAUCAUAAGAUGUCUCUCAAACCAGGAACAUUAUUCCCACAGAUAAUAUUAACUUUUUGUCAUUAAUUUUAUAAACAAAAUACUUAAAGGAAAAAAAGAAAGCAAUUUAAGUAUAGGAGAAAGGGGGAAAAGUGAAGACAAACCACGUCAAAAAAAAA